UACAGAGGAUGCAAGCGUUAUCCGGAAUGAUUGGGCGUAAAGCGUCUGUAGGUGGCUUUUUAAGUCCGCCGUCAAAUCCCAGGGCUCAACUCUGGACAGGCGGUGGAAACUACCAAGCUGGAGUACGGUAGGGGCAGAGGGAAUUUCCGGUGGAGCGGUGAAAUGCGUAGAGAUCGGAAAGACCACCACCGGCGAAGGCACUCUGCUGGGCCGACCCUGACACUGAGAGACGCAAGCUAGGGGAGCGAAUGGG
rnacentral:rRNA from 1 species